AUUGAACGCUGGCGGCAUGCUUUACACAUGCAAGUCGAACGGUAACAGGCCGCAAGGUGCUGACGAGUGGCGAACGGGUGAGUAAUGCAUCGGAACGUGCCCAGUCGUGGGGGAUAACGCAGCGAAAGCUGUGCUAAUACCGCAUACGAUCUAUGGAUGAAAGCGGGGGACCGUAAGGCCUCGCGUGAUUGGAGCGGCCGAUGUCAGAUUAGGUAGUUGGUGGGGUAAAGGCCUACCAAGCCGACGAUCUGUAGCUGGUCUGAGAGGACGACCAGCCACACUGGGACUGAGACACGGCCCAGACUCCUACGGGAGGCAGCAGUGGGGAAUUGUGGACAAUGGGCGCAAGCCUGAUCCAGCAAUGCCGCGUGAAGGAAGAAGGCCUUCGGGUUGUAAACUGCUUUUGUACGGAACGAAACGGUCUGGGUUAAUACCCUGGGCUAAUGACGGUACCGUAAGAAUAAGCACCGGCUAACUACGUGCCAGCCGCCGCAGUAAUAC
rnacentral:rRNA from 1 species